rnacentral:rRNA from 1 species
CGCGUAAGUAAUCUGCCCUUUGGUCUGGCAUAACUCCGGGAAACCGGGGCUAAUAGCAGAUGAUAUCGAAAGAUCAAAGCCUUCGGGCGCCAAAGGAUGAGCUUGCGUCCCAUUAGCUUGUUGGCGGGGUAAUGGCCCACCAAGGCGACGAUGGGUAGCUGGUCUGAGAGGAUGAUCAGCCACAUUGGGACUGAGAUACGGCCCAGACUCCUACGGGAGGCAGCAGUGGGGAAUAUUGGACAAUGGGGGCAACCCUGAUCCAGCAAUGCCGCGUGAGUGAUGAAGGCCUUCGGGUUGUAAAGCUCUUUUGCCAGGGACGAUGAUGACGGUACCUGGAGAAUAAGCCCCGGCUAACUUCGUG